GAUGAACGCUGGCGGCGUGCCUAAUACAUGCAAGUCGAGCGAACAGAUGAGGAGCUUGCUCCUCUGACGUUAGCGGCGGACGGGUGAGUAACACGUGGAUAACCUACCUAUAAGACUGGGAUAACUUCGGGAAACCGGAGCUAAUACCGGAUAAUAUAUUGAACCGCAUGGUUCAAUAGUGAAAGACGGUUUUGCUGUCACUUAUAGAUGGAUCCGCGCCGCAUUAGCUAGUUGGUAAGGUAACGGCUUACCAAGGCAACGAUGCGUAGCCGCCCUGAGAGGGUGAUCGGCCACACUGGAACUGAGACACGGUCCAGACUCCUACGGGAGGCAGCAGUAGGGAAUCUUCCGCAAUGGGCGAAAGCCUGACGGAGCAACGCCGCGUGAGUGAUGAAGGUCUUCGGAUCGUAAAACUCUGUUAUUAGGGAAGAACAAAUGUGUAAGUAACUAUGCACGUCUUGACGGUACCUAAUCAGAAAGCCACGGCUAACUACGUG
rnacentral:rRNA from 1 species